GCACAACGCGAAGAACCUUACCAAGGCUUGACAUCCCCUUGACCGGCACAGAGAUGUGCCCUCUCCUUCGGGAGCAAGGGUGACAGGUGGUGCAUGGUUGUCGUCAGCUCGUGUCGUGAGAUGUUGGGUUAAGUCCCGCAACGAGCGCAACCCUUAUCCUUAGUUGCCAGCAGGUAAAGCUGGGCACUCUAAAGAGACUGCCGAUGAUAAAUCGGAGGAAGGUGGGGAUGACGUCAAAUCAUCAUGCCCCUUAUGUCUUGGGCUACACACGUGCUACAAUGGUCGGUACAAAGGGCAGCGAAGGAGUGAUCUGGAGCGAAUCCCAAUAAACCGAUCUCAGUUCGGAUUGUAGGCUGCAACUCGCCUACAUGAAGUCGGAGUUGCUAGUAAUCGCGAAUCAGAACGUCGCGGUGAAUGCGUUCCCGGGUCUUGUACACACCG
rnacentral:rRNA from 1 species